GAUGAACGCUGGCGGGUUGCCAAAAAAAGGCAAUUCAAGCGAAAAAAUAAGGAGCUGGCUCCUUUGAGUUUAGCGGCGAACGGGUAAGUAAAACGUGGGAAACCUACCUAUAAGACGGGAAUAACUCCGGGAAACCGGGGCAAAGGCCGGAAAAAAUUAGAAACCGAAUGUUUCUAAAGGGAAGGUUGGUUUGGCUAUCACUUUUGAAUGGACCCGCGCCGUAUUAGCUAGUUGGUAAGGUAACGGCUUACAAAGGCAACGAUACGUAGCCGACCUGAGAGGGUGAUCGGCCACACUGGAACUGAGACACGGUCCAGACUCCUACGGGAGGCAGCAGUAGGGAAUCUUCCGCAAUGGGCGAAAGCCUGACGGAGCAACGCCGCGUGAGUGAUGAAGGUCUUCGGAUCGUAAAACUCUGUUAUUAGGGAAGAACAAAUGUGUAAGUAACUGUGCACGUCUUGACGGUACCUAAUCAGAAAGCCACGGCUAACUACGUG
rnacentral:rRNA from 1 species